rnacentral:rRNA from 1 species
UCUAUGACGGGUAUCCGGCCUGAGAGGGUGAUCGGACACACUGGAACUGAGACACGGUCCAGACUCCUACGGGAGGCAGCAGUAGGGAAUAUUGCUCAAUGGGGGAAACCCUGAAGCAGCAACGCCGCGUGGAGGAUGAAGGUUUUAGGAUUGUAAACUCCUUUUGUAAGAGAAGAUUAUGACGGUAUCUUAGGAAUAAGCACCGGCUAACUCC